rnacentral:rRNA from 1 species
GAUGAACGCUGGCGGCGUGCCUAAUACAUGCAAGUCGAGCGAACAGACGAGGAGCUUGCUCCUCUGACGUUAGCGGCGGACGGGUGAGUAACACGUGGAUAACCUACCUAUUAGACUGGGAUGACUUCGGGAGACCGGAGCUAAUACCGGAUAAUAUAUUUAACCACAUCGAUCUGUAGUGAAAGACAGUUUUGCUGUCACUUAUCGAUGGAUCCGCGCCGCAUUAGAUAGUUGGUAAGGUAACUGAUUACCAAGGCAACGAUGCGUAGCCGACCUGAGAGGGUGAUCGGCCACACUGGAACUGAGACACGGUCCAGACUCCUACGGGAGGCAGCAGUAGGGAAUCUUCCGCAAUGGGCGAAAGCCUGACGGAGCAACGCCGCGUGAGUGAUGAAGGUCUUCGGAUCGUAAAACUCUGUUAUUAGGGAAGAACAAAUGUGUAAGUAACUAUGCACGUCUUGACGGUACCUAAUCAGAAAGCCACGGCUAACUACGUG